CACUUUGGUGGCCUAGUGGUUAGAGCAUCUGCCUCGGAUGCAGGAGGUCGUGGGUUCUAUCCCUGGUCAAGUCA